rnacentral:rRNA from 1 species
GCUUGUCUCAAAGAUUAAGCCAUGCAUGUCUAAGUAUAAAUAGUAUACAGUGAAACUGCGAAUGGCUCAUUAAAACAGUUAUAGUUUAUUUGAUAAUUGAAAAUUACAUGGAUAACCGUGGUAAUUCUAGAGCUAAUACAUGCGAAAAGACCCGACUUUGCGGAAGGGUUGCAUUUAUUAGAUACAAAACCAAUGCGGGGCAACCCGGUUGUUGGUGAUUCAUAAUAACUUUUGCGGAUCGCAUGGCCUUGAGCCGGCGACGAAUCAUUCAAAUUUCUGCCCUAUCAACUUUCGAUGGUACGGUAUUGGCCUACCAUGGUUACCACGGGUAACGGGGAAUUAGGGUUCGGUUCCGGAGAGGGGGCCUGAGAAAUGGCCACCACAUCCAAGGAAGGCAGCAGG